rnacentral:rRNA from 1 species
GUUGAACGCUGGCGGUGUGCCUAAUACAUGCAAGUCGAGCGACAACACGAGAGGCUUGUUCUCCUGACGUUAGCGGCGGACGGGCGAGUAACACGUGGAUCACAUUCCUAUUAUUCUUGGAUAAUUACGGGAAAAAGCUGACAAUAAUGGCUAAUAUAACGAACUGUUUGAUUCAAUAGAGCUAGACGCUUUUCCUGUUUCUUUUAGACGGUUCCGUGUCGCAUUAGUUAGUUGGUAAGGUAACGGCUUACCAAGGCAACGCUGCGUAGCCGACCUGAGAGGAUGAUCAGCCCCACUGGAACUGAGACACGGUCCAGACUCCUACGGGAGGCAGCAGUAGGGAAUCUUGCGCAAUGGGCGCAAGCCUGACGGAGCAAUGCCGCGUGGGUGAAGAAGGUCUUCGGAUCGUAAAGCUCUUUUGUUGGGAAAGAACAACUGUAUAUGAAACUCUGCACGUCUUGACGGUACCUAAAGAAAAAGCAACGGCUAACUUCGUG